rnacentral:tRNA from 1 species
UAGGAGUUAGUUUAAAUUGAGAAUUAUUGAUUGUUGAUCAGGAGGUUUUACUCUUAG